rnacentral:rRNA from 1 species
GACGAACGCUGGCGGCGUGCUUAACACAUGCAAGUCGAACGGAAAGGCCCUGCUUUUGUGGGGUGCUCGAGUGGCGAACGGGUGAGUAACACGUGAGUAACCUGCCCUUGACUUUGGGAUAACUUCAGGAAACUGGGGCUAAUACCGGAUAGGAGCUCCUGCUGCAUGGUGGGGGUUGGAAAGUUUCGGCGGUUGGGGAUGGACUCGCGGCUUAUCAGCUUGUUGGUGGGGUAGUGGCUUACCAAGGCUUUGACGGGUAGCCGGCCUGAGAGGGUGACCGGCCACAUUGGGACUGAGGAACGGCCCGGACUCCUACGGGAGGCAGCAGUGGGGAAUAUUGCACGAUAGGCGGAAGCCUGAUGCAGCGACGCCGCGUGCGGGAUGACUGCCUUCGGGUUGUAACCCGCUUUCGCCUGUGACGAAGCGUGAGUGACGGUAAUGGGUAAAGAAGCACCGGCUAACUACGUG